AACGAACGCUGGCGGCAUGCCUAACACAUGCAAGUCGAACGAGACCUUCGGGUCUAGUGGCGCACGGGUGCGUAACGCGUGGGAACCUGCCUUUAGGUUCGGAAUAACUCAGAGAAAUUUGAGCUAAUACCGGAUGAUGACUUCGGACCAAAGAUUUAUCGCCUUUAGAUGGGCCCGCGUUGGAUUAGCUAGUUGGUGGGGUAAAGGUCUACCAAGGCGACGAUCCAUAGCUGGUCUGAGAGGAUGAUCAGCCACACUGGGACUGAGACACGGCCCAGACUCCUACGGGAGGCAGCAGUGGGGAAUAUUGGACAAUGGGCGAAAGCCUGAUCCAGCAAUGCCGCGUGAGUGAUGAAGGCCUUAGGGUUGUAAAGCUCUUUUACCCGAGAUGAUAAUGACAGUAUCGGGAGAAUAAGCUCCGGCUAACUCCGUG
rnacentral:rRNA from 1 species